GACGUAGGGCGCGAGCGUUGUCCGGAUUUAUUGGGCGUAAAGAGCUCGUAGGCGGCUUGUCGCGUCGAAUGUGAAAACCCACAGCUCAACUGUGGGCUUGCAUUCGAUACGGGCAGGCUCGAGUUCGGUAGGGGAGACUGGAAUUCCUGGUGUAGCGGUGAAAUGCGCAGAUAUCAGGAGGGAAACCAGCCGGUGGGCGGAAGGCGGG
rnacentral:rRNA from 1 species